AUAUUUACCAGCAGAUUCAUUAUCAUUAUCACUUAGGUGAUUUUCUCAGGAUAAGAUGUAUCCAUUGUAUUUGGGAUGUGCUUACCCCUGUGAUUUGAUGUCCUCCGAUGUGGGAAAACUCAACAGCAUAAUUUGUGGUAGUAGGAGGCUAUGUUUACCUGGUCCCCAA